rnacentral:tRNA from 1 species
ACUUUUAAAGGAUAAGAGUAAUCCAUUGGUCUUAGGAACCAUCCAUCUUGGUGCAACUCCAAGUAAAAGUA